GCCCCAACCACUGCACCCCAGCCCCACUCCCGGCCCGCGACUCGGGGCCCGAGCCUCGCCUACCUGCGGAGCCCUGGUAUCCCGCGGGCCGUGGCUCCCCAGCCUUUCAGCUCCGCGGCUCCCCGGUUCCCCGGUGGUGGGGGCUGGGCGCAGUCCUUGGCUCCCUGGCCCAGGGUUUGGAGGCUCUGCCCGGGAGAGUGGCGGGAGGGGCGGUCGUUGGUCGUCGACUCUGGGCUCCAGUCUGCAGCGCCCUCUGGGAGCGGACACCGAGCGCCCUCCAGCUGGAAUGCAGAUAUGAUGGCUGCAGCUGGAGCAGUUAUCUUGGACGAUGAAGUGAACUUGGAAACCAAAGCAUGAGAGGC
ensembl:lncRNA